CCUCGUCGACCUGCUGCGGCGAAAUGAAGUGGAUGUGGGUAUCGAUGCCGCCAGCCGUCAGGAUCUUGCCUUCGCCGGCGAUGAUCUCGGUGCCCGGGCCGAUGAUGAUGGUGACGCCAGGCUGGGUAUCGGGGUUGCCGGCCUUGCCGAUGGCGGCGAUGCGCCCGUCCCUGAGGCCGACAUCGGCCUUGUAGAUGCCGGUGUGGUCGAGGAUCAGCGCAUUGGUGAUGACGCAGUCCAUCGCCCCUUGGGCGCGGCUGAGCUGGCUCUGGCCCAUGCCGUCGCGGAUG
rnacentral:sRNA from 1 species